rnacentral:rRNA from 1 species
UACGUAGGGCGCGAGCGUUGUCCGGAAUUAUUGGGCGUAAAGAGCUCGUAGGCGGCCAGUUGCGUCCGCUGUGAAAACCCGGGGCUCAACCCCGGGCUUGCAGUGGAUACGGGCUGGCUAGAGGCAGGCAGGGGAGAACGGAAUUCCCGGUGUAGCGGUGAAAUGCGCAGAUAUCGGGAGGAACACCGGUGGCGAAGGCGGUUCUCUGGGCAUUACCUGACGCUGAGGAGCGAAAGUGUGGGGAGCGAACAGG